rnacentral:rRNA from 1 species
UACGGAAGGGGCAAGCGUUGUUCGGAAUCAUUGGGCGUAAAGGGCGCGUAGGUGGUUCUGUAUGUCUACCGUGAAAGCGUACGGCUCAACCGUAUUUUGUCGGUGGAAACUGCAGGACUUGAGGCUGGGAGGGGCUGGUGGAAUUUCCGGUGUAGCGGUGAAAUGCGUAGAUAUCGGAAGGAACAUCAGUGGCGAAAGCGACUUCCUGGACCAGUACCGACGUUCAGGCACGAAAGCGUGGGGAGCAAACAGG